rnacentral:rRNA from 1 species
UGAAUACGAGACGCUAAGGCGUCGAAGUAGUGUAUGUCAUACUUCCAAGAAAAGCUUGCACUGUCAUAAGUAAAAAAUGCCUGUACCAUAACCGACACAGGUGGGUAGGUAGAGUAUACUAAGGGGCGCGAGAUAACUCUCUCUAAGGAACUCGGCAAAAUAACUCCGUAACUUCGGGAGAAGGAGUACCUUAUUCUAUAGGGUUGCAAUAACAAGAUCCAAGCAACUGUUUAUCAAAAACACAGGUCUCCGCUAAGUCGUAAGACGAUGUAUGGGGGCUGACGCCUGCCCAGUGCCAGAAGGUUAAAGAAGUCGGUUAGCAUUAGCGAAGCUGGUAACUGAAGCCCUGGUGAACGGCGGCCGUAACUAUAACGGUCCUAAGGUAGCGAAAUUCCUUGUCGGGUAGUUCCGACCCGCACGAAAGGCGUAAUGAUUUGGAUACUGUCUCGGAGAGGGGCUCGGUGAAAUAGACUUGUCUGUGAAGAUGCGGACUACCUGCACCAGGACAGAAAGACCCUAUGAAGCUUUACUGUAACUUGAAAUUGAAAUUGGACUUUAUUCGCGCAGUAUAGGUGGGAGGUGUUGAUUAUAAUCUUGCGGGAUUAUUGGAGCCAUCAGUGAGAUACCACUCUUGUAAUGUUAGAUUUCUAACUUUGAACCAUUAUCUGGUCAAAGGACAGUUUCAGGCGGGCAGUUUGACUGGGGCGGUCGCCUCCCAAACGGUAACGGAGGCGUACAAAGGUUUCCUCUGAACGGGUAGAAAUCGUAUCUAGAGUGUAAAGGCAUAAGGAAGCUUGACUGUGAGACCUACAAGUCGAACAGGGACGAAAGUCGGUCUUAGUGAUCUGACGGUACUGAGUGGAAAGGCCGUCACUCAACGGAUAAAAGUUACUCUAGGAUAACAGGCUGAUCUCCCCCAAGAGUUCACAUCGACGGGGAGGUUUAGCACCUCGAUGUCGGCUCAUCGCAUCCUGGGGCGGUAGUACGUCCCAAGGGUUGGGCUGUUCGCCCAUGAAAGCGGUACGCGAGCUGGGUUCAGAACGUCGUGAGACAGUUCGGUCCAUAUCCGGUGUAGGCGUUAGAAUAUUGAGAGGAGCCUUCUUUAGUACGAGAGGACCGAGAAGGACAUACCUCUGGUGUACCAGUUAUCGUGCCAACGGUAAACGCUGGGUAGCUAUGUAUGGAGUGGAUAACCGCUGAAAGCAUCUAAGUGGGAAGCCCACCUCAAGAUAAGUAUUCCC